GCAAAUCUGACAUGGGGGUAAAAUUGUUUAUCAGGUCAAGAUCUAUAUGCCCUGAAAUUUUCAGAUGAAUCGGACAACCCGUUGUUGGGUUGCUGCCCCUGAAUUGGUAAUUUUAGGAAAAUUUUGCUGUUUUUGGUUAUUAUCUUGAAUAUUAUUAUAGAUAGAGAUAAACUGUAAACUGAAAUAAUGUACAGCAAAGUAAGACCUAAAAAUAAGUCAACAUGACCAAAAUGGUCAGUUGACCCCUAAGGAGUUAUUGUCCUUUAUAGUAAAUUUUUAACAAUUUUCAUAGAAUUUGUAAAUUUUUACUAUCAUUUUCCACUGAAACUACUGGGCAAAGUUCAUUAUAGAUAGAAAUAAUUGUUAGCAGCAAGAAUGUUUAGUAAAGUAAGAUGUACAAACACAUCACCAUCACCAAAAC
rnacentral:lncRNA from 1 species